rnacentral:rRNA from 1 species
GACGAACGCUGGCGGCGUGCUUAACACAUGCAAGUCGAACGAUGAUGGGGAGCUUGCUCCCUGGAUUAGUGGCGAACGGGUGAGUAACACGUGAGUAACCUGCCCUGGACUCUGGGAUAAGCGCUGGAAACGGCGUCUAAUACCGGAUAGGACCUUUCAUCACAUGGUGGGGGGUGGAAAGUUUUUCGGUUUGGGAUGGACUCGCGGCCUAUCAGCUUGUUGGUGAGGUAAUGGCUCACCAAGGCAUCGACGGGUAGCUGGUCUGAGAGGAUGAUCAGCCACACUGGGACUGAGACACGGCCCAGACUCCUACGGGAGGCAGCAGUGGGGAAUCUUGCACAAUGGGCGAAAGCCUGAUGCAGCAACGCCGCGUGCGGGAAGAAGGCCUUAGGGUUGUAAACCGCUUUCAGCAGGGAAGAAAAUGACGGUACCUGCAGAAGAAGGUGCGGCCAACUACGUGCCAGCAGCCGCGGUGACACGUAGGCACCAAGCGUUGUCCGGAUUUAUUGGGCGUAAAGAGCUCGUAGGCGGUUCAGUAAGUCGGGUGUGAAAACUCUGGGCUCAACCCAGAGACGCCACCCGAUACUGCUGUGACUUGAGUACGGUAGGGGAGUGGGGAAUUCCUGGUGUAGCGGUGAAAUGCGCAGAUAUCAGGAGGAACACCAGUGGCGA